rnacentral:rRNA from 1 species
AUUGAACGCUGGCGGCAGGCUUAACACAUGCAAGUCGAACGAGUGGCGGACGGGUGAGUAAUGCCUGGGAAUCUGGCUGAUGGAGGGGGAUAACGACGGGAAACGGUCGCUAAUACCGCAUACCAUAGGAUGAGCCCAAAUGGGAUUAGGUAGUUGGUGGGGUAAUGGCCUACCAAGGCGACGAUCCCUAGCUGGUCUGAGAGGAUGACCAGCCAAACGGGAACUGAGACCCGGCCCGGACUCCGACGGGAGGCAGCAGUGGGGAAUAUUGCGCAAUGGGGGCAACCCUGAUGCAGCCAUGCCGCGUGAAUGAAGAAGGCCUUCGGGUUGUAAAGUUCUUUCGGUGACGAGGCGUUAAUCACAGAAGAAGCACCGGCUAACUCCGUGCCAGCAGCCGCGGUAAUUC